UUCUGACGUGUGCUCUUCCGAUCUGUUCGUGUCAGCCCCCUGCUUAUAACCUUUUAAGAGUUUUCAGUAGGCUUCCCACAGCCCUUCUCCCUCCCUUUUUAGCCUCACCUCCUGCUGCCCCCAAACCCCUGCCAUUGGCCCUUUAUGUCAGGAAAGCUGAGCCCCUGCACUGAGGUGAGACCCACCUUCUGCUUUUGCUUUUGUAGAUACUCCUUUUACCUGAUGUCUCCCCCCAUCGUCCAUGUGCUAAACUCCUACUCAUUAUCCACUAUCCAACUAGGCCAUCUUCUCUUCCAUGAAGCCUUUCUUCACCCUCCUGAACAAAGUUAUCCUUCGUCUUUCGAUCUCCCUGCUGAAUUUCUCUUUAAAAACAAUCAAAUAUGUCAAUAUUCUUGUAUUUCUGUUAUCAGUUAUUGUGUGUGUCUCUCCCCUACUAAGAUGAAUAAAUUCUUUAAAGGCCAGAGGCUGAAGCUUUCUCAUCCUUUUAUCCUACCAUAGUGCCUAGCACAUCACAUGGAUUCAGGAAAGGUUUGUGCAUGGAAAUUAGAAUUAAUCAGUGACCUUGCUAUUUGGACUAAGUACUGAGAAUUCAACAUUGAAAGGAAUAGCGUGCCAUUUGAAAAGAGAAGGGGCGAAAACAGGUGGUAUCUGGGUUGGUGAUGGGUAUUUAGGAGGGCACCUGUUGGGAUGAGCACUGGGUGUUGUAUGGAAACCAAUUUGACAAUAAAUUUCAUAUUAAAAUAAAUAAAUAUAUAUAUAUUAAAAAAUUAAUGAAAAUAAUAACAAAAAGAGAAGGGGCAACGCACAGUUGUAUCAGAUGAAAUUACUGUCUUCGUUGAUAUAUGCUUUGUUUUGUAUGUGUCCAGGAAGAUAAUGCAGGGUUUCGAGAAGUGGAAGGAGGUUAAGGAGAAAUUAUACUUACUGGCAUUUUCCCCAAAACAUAUGCCUGUGGUGAUAAGUGGUUAAUAAGUUAUUGAAUGCCAUUUUCUCUACUUCUAGUCAAAACCAUACACGGGUUUAUUUUUAUUCAUUGUGCUAGGUCCUCAGUGGAUCCUUUCAGUCUCAAAAUUCAAGUCAUUAAGUUCCGCAAAAUUUCCUUCAGUUAUUUCACUGAUGAUUUCUUCUUUACUUUCUCUCAUCUCUCUUUUGGGACUACUGUUAUUUAGCAUGAGAUUUCCUGCACUUACCAUUGUUAUCUCUUCUCUUGAGCUUUCUAUCUCUUUUUAUUCUACCCGCUGAGAGAUUCCCUUAACUCUGCACACCUUCCCCUUCUGUUUUUCAUCUUUCAUAUUCUGCUUUCAUAUUUUAAAUUUCUAGCAGCUCCUUUCCUCUGAGUAGCAUCCUGUUACGUGUGUAGCAUCUUCUCUUGCCUGAGCGUAUUAAUGAUUUAAAAAGUGUUUAUUCUUAUUUUGGUUUUUGUUUGCUCUUGAUACGUCAUUUGCGUUAGAGGCUUCUCUUGCGAGUUUGGCAAUACUUGAUUGCAUAUUUAUUUUUAAGAGGAGAGGACUAGAAAACAUUGGAAGCUUUUAGUGUGUGGAUAGAGGUUGUCAAUGCUGCUGGGGUUUACUGUAGGGUAAUUUGGGCUUUUUUCAUUGGGGAAUACCUAAUGUCAUUCCACAUAAGUCUUUCCUCUUGGGCUUGUCGAGAAUCUUGCAGUUAUCCAGCUGUAAAGUACAAGCCUGUAAAGUAUUUACCUGUAUCCUGGAGGCAGAUGGUGGGGAGGACAACUAGAGAUCUCAGCAUUUAAUCUGCAUGUGUUCACAUAAUCACCUUGUUUUUCAAUACAGUGCCUUGGUCCUUGAUUGUGCUAAUGUUUCCCUUUCCGAAGAAUAAAAUUCUGGUUGAUUUGCUUGUGUGUGAGAGUGGUUGUUGCCUGGCUCUGUGGAGUUGGGAGGGGAUCUGGAAAUAGAAUUGUCCUAUAGAUUUUCAGCCAGUCUUCCUGUUCGUUUUUUGUUGUUGUUGUUGUUGUUUUUAGUUGAGAUAUAAUUGUCAUGAAGCAAUGGAUUACUUUUAGAUGCACAAAUAACGACCCAGUAUUUGUAUACAUUGCAAAAUUAUCACCUAGUGUUCUGUUUUAACCCCAAUUUUGCUACCACUUCAAGAAUACAUGGGGUCGCCAGUUCCUGAGCUUUAUGGCGGUUACGGAAGUAUAGUUCAGAUUGCUUCUCAUUGUCCCUCUGCUCGCUUACAACUCAGUAAGUCUGCUAAGCUCUUUACCACUUGUUUAUCCUCUUUUCGGUUUCCAAAAUUUUGUUGUUAUUAUAUCCUCCCUUAUUGUCUGCCUUUCUUUUAUUUAUACAUAAAUGCAGUACAUACAGGGAACAUCAAUUUAAAACGUUACUGUCUUCUCAUUAGAAACAAUGGAAGCAUAAAGAUAGAAAAUCUCACUACCGACAUGUUACUGGAGUUUCAGAAGGUUGCAGAAGUAAAUGUACCUGUUCAGUAUGCCAAUUUAACUCACAAGUCCCCAAACUAAAUUUUUAGUGGAGAGGGAAGGUUUUUUUUUUUAAAGGUGUAAGAAAACAGUGAAUUUUAAAAUAUUCUCUUCAUUUUAACCAAAUCCAAUCUGAUUUUACUGCAUUUCAAACAUUAGAAAGAAUGAGAUUGGAAUAUAACCAGUGAAUGUCCCAAAGCCACAACCAGACUUUCCUGGAUAUUUGUCUUUUCCUGGUCAAGAAUUAAAGUCCACAGAGUCACUGAAUUUAGAGAUCAGAGACACCUCUUCUAAUUUCCAGCCUUUCUAUACGUUUCCUUAAGACAGUCUUCAUGCUUCUGAAAACUAAUUGACAGGAAAUCUGGUACCUUCUGAGACAGUUCAUAUAUUUAGACUGUUUGUGAAGGAAGGGAAGGAAGUGGAUGGUUGGUUUGGACUCCCUAUAAUGUUUAGCUAUAAUAUACAUGCUAUAAAAAAAAAUAAACUAUCUUCGGAGCAGCAUUAUUCCAUAUUCAUGGGCUUUAAGUUAGGUAGGCCAGAGUUUUCUUUGUUGUAAUUAUUGUGUAACCUUUAGGAAUUACUUACCCUCUGAACCUGUAUUUUCAUCUGUGAAGCAAAGAUAAUAAUACUUCGAGGGUUAAUAAACUUUAAACACAAUACAGUAUAGAAGAACCUGGCAAAGAGCUUAGCACGGGGAGGCUGAUCAUUACAUGGUACCCAUUAUCCUUCUUACAGAUUCAACCAGGGAACAUUUUUCAGUGGACAGCAUUUGGACUAAACCUGAAGAGGGGGUAAGAUUUUAACAGAAAAGCCCGAGCUGGAAGGGACUAGGUUAGACCUUCCAGACUGAUGGAUUAAGCAUGACAAAGACAUAGCUAUGUCAAAGAAUCAAAGUCUGAAGGUUUAUGUAAGGACUGGCAAGUAUUUCUAGGUGUCUGGGUUACGAGGCAUACGAAAUGAUAUAGCAUAAUGUGGCUUAGGCUGAAAGGCUUUGACAUAGGGCAUCUUAGCCAAAAGGAAAAAAAGUUGAUGUUCUCACAUAUUGCAUCAUUCAGUGAGACAGACAAACCUAAGAACCACUGGGGAGUCCAGAAUGCCUUCUCUGUGAAAGCUUACUUAAUACGGCUUUUUAUUUAUUUAUUUAUUUUUAAUUUUUUAAUGUUUAUUUAUUUUUGAGACAGAGAGAGACAGAGCACGAGCGGAGGAGGGUCAGAGAGAGAGGGAGACACAGAAUCUGAAACAGGCUCCAGGCUCUGAGCGGUCAGCACAGAGCCCGACGCGGGGCUCGAACUCACGGACCGCGAGAUUGUGACCUGAGCUGAAGUCGGUCGCUUAACCGACUGAGCCACCCAGGCGCCCCUUAAUACGGCUUUUUAACAACUUGAUCAGAUAGAGACCAAAAUUGUAAUGAGGGUUAUUGGUAAACCUAAAACAUGUUUGUUAUAUACACAGUUAUUCUAGACAAGUCAAAAAUGUAAGAAUAUGUCCAAGGGAAGAAGAUAUCUGUCUUUGUAUUUGAAAGGCUGUCGAGGGGAAGAAGGAAUAAAAUUAAACCUUGCUGAUGGAUUAAGUUAAUACAAACAGAUAGAAAUCAGAAAGCGGACAUUUUUAGCUCAUGUGAAAAAUCCUGAUUUUUAACAGAACUGUGCGACAUUGGAAUGAAAAGCUUGGGGAGGAAUUAAGUAUCUAGUCAUGACGGGCUGGAUGAUUGUCAAGGAUGCUAUAGAAAACAGAUCUGUUUUGUGAAAAGGUAAAAGCAAGUGCCUUCCAAGGUUACGCCCUACUCCAUAUUAACCAGGGCUCUUGCUGUCCAUCCAGAUGCACACCCUCAGGCUCUGCCCAGAACACCCUGUUCCACAAAUGAGGACUGUUUGAGGAUUGUUAUAAAAACCCUGAGGCAGUCCCUUCCUGGAGUCAACAGUUUCAGCUGUUUCAUAGACCUCCAGCAGCUUUCGCUAGGACAGGCUCUUCCUGGUGCCUUUCCUAGGACUUCUCCACAGUUCUGUUGAACACAGUGAGACAGUCUUCAAAUGAUGCUGCUCCAUGGACCUCAACGACAUCCUCCCUGAACAGGAGCCUCCAGACACCUUGAGACGGGGCUUGCCAGCCCCUUACAAGCCCCUAGCAGCCAUAGAUCUCUUUCCUUCUCUCUAUCUUACCUGAAACCUACAAUCCCUUCCAUUGGAUCCUUGUUUUCUGACACUCCACAGGUAAUGAAGGUGGAGGGAGGGAUGGGUAGAUUUCUCCAGACCCUUACUUUUCCCUCCUUAUGUGAAACCAUCAGCCUUUGAAGCCUUUUAAAUAUUCAACUCUCUCUCACAGCAAAUCACUGCCGUCUGACACACUGGUUACUUCUUUGGAGCAUUCAGAAUUUGCAACCUUGCCAACAGUCUUUCUUUGUAGGAAGGAAGUAACCCUGCCUUACUCUAGUCUCAUCCUUGUCUUUCCUGUGCCAGACUGCUUGCUGUUGUUCCCCAUUUUGCUUUUGCUCCUGGGCUUUUCCACAUGCAGUUUCCUCUGUUUGGAAUACUGUUUCCCCACCCUUUCGCCUAAUAAAACCCAACAUGUACUUUGUAGCCAGAUAGGUUACCACUCCCUGGCCACACACCCCUGUCUCUCCUAGACUUAGUUAGAUGUCCCUCCUCUGUGUUCCUAUCAUUUUCUCUGAUGUGAUUAUUUUUUAAUAUAAUUAUGUUUCUGAUUUUUAAAUGUCUUUGCCAUUAUAUUAUGAUUACUUUAAAAGGAGAAACUGCUUCCUCUUUAUUUUGUGACUUACCCAUGGCCUAGCACAUAGGUGUUCAGUAUCUACUGACUGAAUGAAUAUAUGAUUUCACCUGCUUGUCUUCUUUGUACCUGUACAAGACUGAAGGUGGAACAGAAAGGAAUAAACUUGGUGCUGUUACUAAAGCUAGUUUAUUUUUAGCUCAAAUUCUGUUUGAAACGUACAUAUGUGUGUGUGUGACAUAUGUGUGUGUAUCUAUACACACACACACACAUAUGUCACACACACACCCACACUGAUGAACUUAGGUUCAGAAUGUAAGGCUGCCUUUUACCUCUUAUGGUUUUAUGCCUUCUAUUUGAUAACGCUACCACUGUCAUCCGUCUUUUGUUUUUCUGUCAAUGUUCUUUUUUUUAUUUUUUUCAACAUUUAUUUAUUUUUGAGAAGAGAGAGACAGAGCAUGAGUGGGGGAGGAGAGAGGAAGAGGGAGACACAGAAUCUGAAACAGGCUCCAGGCUCUGAGCUGUCAGCACAGAGCCCGACGCGGGGCUCGAACUCACGGACCGCGAGAUUGCGACCUGAGCCGAAGUGGGACUCUAAACCGACUGGGCCACCCAGGCUCCCCACAGUUUUCUGAUCCCCUUACUUUGAUCUCCUCUCAUCCACAGAAUUUUAGCAUUUCUUACCUUCAAAAUGCUAUGGCUGUAUUUUUUUUUUUACCAUGGAUGUGUUCUUUCUGGUGAGUCUUGUCUUUUGAGGUUAUAGCAUGUCACAUUAAAAUGUGUCAGAUUCAGAUGAGACCAAAAAUAGCAUAUAGCCUUAAGUAAGGGAAGUUAGAAAGAAAAAUUAGUAAUGAAUGAAGUAGAAAAGUGAGGUAUAGCAGUAAUGGUUUAGUGUAAAAAACAGUAGUGUUCUUAGGAAUAACCAUUAAGGAAAAAGGACAAGGACUACUAAUUCCAAGAUGCUUAUAGCUCAUAGACUAUGCUGGGAGUUUUAUAUACAUUAUUUUGUUUUCAUCCAUACAAUAACCCUAUGAAGCAAAUGUUGUGAGGGGCAUUAUGUAGAUGAGGAACCAAAGGUUCAGAGGAGUUAAGUGAGUUCACACAGGUAUUCCAACACAAGAUUCUCACUUUUUGACCACCUCCUAUGCCAGUCCAUGUAUUUUAAAUUGGCUUUUUAUUAGAUUAUUUUUGACUGUAAAAUUUUGGAAGUUAGCUAGGAAGUUAACACAAAAGUGGCAGUUUGAAGAUAGACGUUCAUUUUGUUUAAUAGCCUUGGCAUAGACCUUGGAACAGCUAAUUGAUUUGAUGGGGUGGUUUUGUGUCAUAACCUUUUCAAAGAUUAAUAGUGCCAGAAACUAAUAUUUAAAUAGCAAAUGGAGCUCUCAUUUAGCAAACCUCUUGAUGGAAAUGUUAACACAGUCUAAAAUCUGUGCUGAUUUUUUGGACCCCCCAAUAAAGUUGUCCAAAAUUGUUCAUUUGCUGAUGCCUGUUUAGAUGAUUAACACAUUAUAUAAACUUUACUUCCCGUGCACUUUGUUGAGGAAAAAAUUUGCGUUCCUGCUGUAUUAUGAGAAAUUAAAUAAAACAGUUCCUUGGCGAGUCUGUUCCUCGGCCACCAACCCCAACCCUGCAACCCCAUAUAUUCAUCUAACCCACUUCCCCGCCUCCAGGGUUUCCUUAGGUUCUUCCUUCUGUUUCCACUGGCUUGCCUCCUUUCCUCCUAUUUAGUGCCCAGCUGGGCUCAGCUCACUCUCUGUCAGAUUAUGGCAUAGGUCCCAACACUUCAAGAAAGAUUUUCCCACAGAGAUUUCUUUAUAAGUCAAAUAGGCAAAUACAGAUGUCCCUCCCCACCCCCCACCCCCCCCCCCCCAGCAAUUUGCAGCUCAAUCCUCCAAAAAAAGUUUAUCAAUUACCAUGCAUCUGGCGUUGUUAGCUGCUGGGCAUUUAAUGAUAAAUAAGAUACAUCUCUACCUUUAAAGAGUUUACAGUCUUGUAAAUAUUGUUUUGGAUCUGUGGGCGUAAAUGAUUUAAUCUCUGUGUGCCUCAGUUUCUUCAUCUAUAAUAUAAAGAUGAUAAUAGCUGCUUUGGUAGGGUGCUUAUACUGAGUUAGUAUUUAUAAAGUACUUAAGGUAGGGCCUAACGAAUAGAAAAUACUAUAGAAGUGGUUUUUUAUUUACCAAAACAAAACUGAACAUUGCGGUCACUUUAUCUAGUUCUAAAAUAUCCUACUGGUAUUUUUACGGGUAUCAUAAUAAAUUUAUAGAUUAGAGUGAAAUGUCAUCUUUAUAAUAACAUCUUCCUAUUGGAGAACAGGGUGAGUUUACAUUUAUUGGGAUCUUCUUUUGCAUCUCUUAAUAGAAUAUAAUAGUUUUCUUCAUAUGGAUCUUGCUAUUCUGGUUAUGUUUAUUUCUAGAUAGUUUAUCUUUGUUGCUAUUUAAAAUGGCACCAUGUAAUAUUUUAAUUGAUUGUUAUUUAUAUAAAAGAAGACUUCUGAUUUUUGUUUUUAAAUUUUCUACCGAAUUACCUUAUAGUCUGUGAUGAGUUUUCAGUUGGUUUGCUUGGAUUGUCUUGAUGUAUAAUCAUAUAUCAUCUCUAAAAAAUGAUCAUUUUGCCGUUCCCCCCCCCCACAUUUUUAUAACUCGUAACUCUUUCUCUGACUUAAUUUGUGCUAACUAUGAUGGUAGUGAACAUGCUUGUCUUACUUAUAUUGUGGUUCUUGACUCGUGACCGUUAUACUUGAAAAAGAUUAUUUUAUACUUGAAAAAGAUUAUUAUAUACAAUGUGUUGUAUUUUCCCAGCUUGAUAAACAAGGUCACUUACUGCUGUGCUUUGCUUUAACCACCAAAGAUUUUGUCCUGUUCUGAACUUGUCAUUCAUGUGUUUUCAGUUAUUCAGUCUGUCUUCUAUAAAUUUGAACAUCCAGAUUUGGCUCUUAGCCUGACAGAAUCUUGCAGAAUAUUUUAGAGAAGCAGUAUCUCUGGAGAACAAAAACUCAGACUCCCCAAAAUAGAUAAAGUUGGAGAUGAUUCUUCAGCGUCUCUAACCCCUUCUCCUGAGCACUUAAAUUAGCCCUUAGAGAAGUAUGUCCCAGCAUGUGUUUAAUGUUCAAAAUAUUAUUUGCUAACUAAAAACCUCUGUGCCCUUGUAUAGAGCUAUCCCCUUUGUGCUGACACAUAGCAGACAUACAGAAAUGUUGUCUGUCAAGGAACUAACUGCCCAGGCUGCAUUACCCCCAUGAAUCCAUUUCAGAUAUCUUCAGGUAAAAGGUAGAAGUCAUCUUUUUCACGUUUUUUUAGUUUUCUGUUGCUUCAUAACAAAUCACCACAAAUGUAGCAGCUUAAACCCCAUGCAUUUUUAUCUCAAAGUUCUCUAGGUCAGAAGUCUGGGUGGGCUCAUCUGGUUUCUCUGCUCAGGGUCUCAAGCCAGAAUCAAGGUGUUGGUCAGGCUGGGCUCUUAUCUGAAAGCUCUUGGGAAUAAUCCACUUCCAAGCUCAUUUAAAUUGUUGGCAGAAUCCAGUUGCUUGCAGCUGUAGGUCUGAAGUUUACAUUUGCUUGCUGGCUUUUAGCCAGGGGCCAGCCUUUGCUCCUAGAGGCCUCCUGCAUUCCUUCUUACAUGACCCCUCCAUUUUCAGACCAAUAAUGUCCCGUCAAGCCCUUCUCACAGUUCAGAUCUUUCAGAACGUUCUCUUCUGUUGCCAGCCAGAGAAAACGUUCUCCUUUUAAAGGCCUCGUGUGAUUAGAUUAGGCCUAUCCAGAUGAUCUCCCUUUGCCAUAGACAUAAAAUAAUCAGGGGAGUAAUAACACCAGGGAACGAAGGUCUUGGUGACCAUCUUAAAAUUGUGACUACUACCCAACUCUUCAAACUCUCAUCGAAGGUUGUCCUUUCCUUCUAUGUGCAUGUAAAAAGGUAACCUCCUUAAAGGGAGCAUCCAUGGCUGAGGCAUUUCGUGACACCCCGUCAUACUUUGCACACCUUGCCUGCAGUGGACAUUCAGUACAUGUAUGGCGGAUGAAUUGUUUUUCAUUCAAUGACUUGGUGAGAUCAAAGGUGAAUAAAUUUAUUCCAGACCAAAUUGUAAGAGGAUCUGCCCGGUUCGAGGAGCAGCGUGACUUGACAGUUCAUUGCCAUUUUGGUUUUGUUUUUCCUUUUUUGAAACUACAUUUAUUUAUGAUCGACCGGAGAGACUAAACAGUGGACACAUGGGCUUUAGACGCCAGUGCUAUUCAUGUGAGGUCAGAAGAAUUGCAUGAAAAAAACAUGAAGGACAUGAAGUGGAUGUUAUAGUAAAAUUAAUAUUUUAAGGGAAAAAAAUCAUUAGUGAGAGAAAGGAGCGUUCUGGAAAACUGUGUUCCAUUUAGGGCACCUCGUUACCAGAUUCUUUAAGGGAAACUGGAGGGAGUUCAGAGACGUAAAGAAUGAUGAAGAGGCUGUAGGGAUUAACUUACAAGCAAAGAUUUUAGAAGACUAAAUAUGUAGAGCUUAGCUGAACAACAGCUGAGUCGAGAUGUAGCUGUUGUCAAAUGUCUGAUAUCAAGAGAAGGAAUGUGUUUCUCUGAAGAGCUGAGAGUCUCUUUCUAAGUAUUGGAAUCAAAUCACGAAUGGGAAAAUCUUUUCUCACCAACGUGUAAGCAGUAUUUAGACUGGGUGCUGGGAUGUAAAGUUGAAUUCAGUUGAAUUCAAAUCCCGGCUCUUCUGCUUGCGUAGCUGUGAAGUUGCAGGCAGCUCCUUUAACCUUUUAAACUCUGUCAUGUGUGCAGUGGAAAUUAUACCACCUACCUAUCUCAUGGGGUUAUUAUGAAGGUUAAAUGAAAUGACUUAAGUAAACAGUCAAGUUCCAUGCCUGGCACAGAUUGUAGGUUGAGAAGGACUGUAGAUGCUAUUGGUAUUACCCUUAUCAUCAUCACUCUGAAGUGGUUAAGAGUUCAAAGGGCGAGGGUCAGACAAACCUGGGGUACCAGUUCAAGUGCUACCACUUAUUAACUCCUAGUAUCCUCAGUUGUAAGCGGGUCAUAGUGAGGACUGUAUGAAAUAACGCAGUGUGAAAUGCUUAGCACAUAGUUAAUCACUCCGUAAAUAUAUUAGCAGCUAUAUGGCAUUAUUUUCAUUAUAGUAACACCGUCACUAUUCCACCCUGGAACCUGACUAAAGGCUUAGCAUAUAUUCAGUUUCCAAAUUGUCCCUAUUUACAAACAACAGCAUAUACAUAUCUUCAUUUCUAUUUUUAUCACCCCUCCCCAUAGACACACACACACACACACACACACACACACACACACCAUUCGAUAAUUUUUUGUUGGACUGAAUUAAGUAAUUUCUACCAGUGAUUAUAUCAGGUACUGUGGUCACUGUACAUGGCUGGAGAGAUGCCGGAAUGGGCUUCUGUAUUCCUAUGUAAUCAAAGUUCUAACAACUGAUAGAAGGGCAUUUUUUAUUCCAAUAAAACUGAUACUUAGGUUUACCUAAAUUUCUGUGAGGGAAUCCCUGCAUUCAUAAA